UCGGAGACCCGUGAUCCGGAGCGAGAGAGCGUUUAUCGUGCCUUCCGUGAACACGAGCGGCACCAGGGGGGGACUGAGGAGGGGGACGGGUUGUCAUUGAUCGUCCCGACUGUGGCUCACGAGCCGCUAAAGGUCCCGUACAAGUACGGGCCCGUGAGCAUGCGGCUCUCUGUAUAUCUCUGCGUGUGGGCGUGCGUAUACGUGAUGAUCGCCGUACGUGCACGCACGCGUUUCACCGACGACGGCGCGCCGUCGAAAAGGCACGCUCGGUUGCCCGCCGAAAAAACGAGACGAGACCCGCUGUUGCUGCUGCCGUUCUCCACCCAAGAGUCCACCGUUCUGACCGUUUUUUCCCUGGAAAUUUGGUGAAAUCGCUGGGGGGGACUGCGGUUAUUGCGAAAGGGAUCCGACGAUGCGGUUUUUCGACGACUUUUUCGUUUUUCCCUUCGGUUUCGCUUCGCAUGCUGCAAGCUCCGGGGGCUUGAUGGGAAUCGAACCGAGUUGACUCCAAGAGUCUCUCGGUUCGACUUUUCGAAAAGUUCCAUUUGAUUCGUGGCCUCGAGUUGAAGAAUUGUUGAGUUCAUUAAUGAAGAAUUCGAAAUAUUUGCAGAGAAUCGAAGUAGAAUUUAAAAAUAUUAAACGUAUGUUGAAUUUAUUUUGUUGACAAGAUAUUUUAAUAUCUGAACAAAAAAAUGAAAUCAACUAGAACGAAAGGAAAGUCGAGCAUGGUAGGAGAAAAUAUUAAAUCGGGCCGGAAACUCUAGAAAAGUUCGAAAAUGCUUCUGACAGGUUCAACUAGACUGGAAAAUUUUCGAGUUAAAAAGAAAAUACAUGGAAAUAUGAAAGAUGGAGUGCGGUUGAUUUCCGAAUACGUCAGUAUUCAAACAGUGCUGACACUGUUUUUCAAUAUUAUUAUAGAACUGAUGCUUAGAAUUUUGCAGAAAUAUCGAAAAUGUAUUCGAAUUUUGAUUCCAGCUGUAAUCGCAACGCUCGAAGCGAAAGCGCGCGCUGAAAGUGUUCCAUUAACAGGGUUGAUUUUCGUGGAAGGGGGUGAUUUUCGAAACCAUUCUCGCACAAGUUGCACGCUGUUCGUUGCCACGGCCUUUUCCAUUGUGCCCAGCUCGGAAAAGAUUGCGGCCAGCUUUGGCUUCAAUAGAAAGCGGUCGAUUCAACACCGCAAUCGCGGCAUCUGUUACCGUGACGAUCGACCGACGAUUCUCGCUUCUCCUUUUUCAUCCGGAGAGCUGGCUAAUCGCCGGGACGUCGUCUGCUUUCCCGAUCGAGAAACGCCUUCCUUUUUUCUCGGGGCAAGAGAGGAAAAAAAUUCUUCCAUCAUACUCGAAAUGUAACCAUUUUUGUAACCGUUGAAAUAAAACGAAAGAAAAUGUGAAGUUUUCGAAGCGUUUCACAGAUGGUGGGAAACCACGUCCUUGUAAAAAGAGGAAACGGAGCAGAGCGGGUAACUGAACCGAUAAUUCCCCGCUACGAUUUCAGAGGUUUGGCUCGGUUAACCGUAACCGUGGUUCCGAGGCCGCGCACCUCCGACCCUCAGUCAAUAAAACAGUUGACCUCCUCCAGAAGAGCAGGAAAUAAUGCGGCACUACUGGAGAACCACCGGUGACUAGUGUGCACUCGGAUUUUUGGCGAGCACCCUGAAUUCUCUGCUAACAGUCUUGGCCACCGCGAAAUUGCCCAUUGAAUUCGCUUCUUUUAUUCCGACCCUAUGAACCACCGCGAUCCACGGGGGUAGAGUUUCGGCUCGGAGUAAAAGAAAAAAAGGAAAGAACUGUCGUGGAGCUUGUGAAUUUUUGUGAAAGACGAACGAUUUCUGGGAAAAUGUGCUUCAGUUAUUUAGAAGACUGUGAGAAAUUUUAGAAAUAUCCUUUCAUUUUUCCAACCGUACAACUAUAAUAUUGAUCGUCCGAGGAUCUCUUCGAAUCCAAUUGGUUUACGUCGUUCAAAUCGUUUAUUACAAUCGACGGGGUAAAAAUAAAAAUUUCCUUCGUAAAAGAAGGUGAUCUCAGCUUUUCGGCCACGGGCCACGCAAAGACCUCACGCGUUUCUCUUUAGUGCAUGACUCAGCGUAGCCGAAACAGCGUACGAACUCCGAAGCCACCCUCAUUGUGUCCCCCCAACCCUCUGGAGCAGAGCCCGGACCUGAAUGCAGCCAGGCGGCGAACCCUGCUGCUCUCGACACUAAUACCAGCACGUGCGUGUACUUUCAUUAUCGGAGCAGGGUCGGUGAUAAUAAUCGUGCGCCGUUGGCCCGCGUUGAGAGGAGAGAAGGCCGAAAGGGGUGCGCUCGUUCGGGCGAGAUCCGGAAUACGGGAUAUAUUAGGGCAAGGGGUUGGAAACCAUUACGACCAGGGGGGAAGCGUCGAUAUUUUUUUCCCGUACCGCUCGUUUCGGUGUCGUCCUUUCGAUUUUUUUCUUCACCGCACCGGGGGGAAAAAAACGAGGGUCGUCUGCUUGAAUUUUUGAGGACCCUUUGUGAUUCCAUGAAGAAUCUCAAGCAUUUCCAGAAAUUUUAGAAACUGCAUAUUUUUCUUAAUUUUAACUAAACUCAAUGAGUUUCUUAAAUGAAACAUAUUUACAGUGAAGAGUAAAACAUGAAAGAAAUAUUUUGUUCCUUGUAUAUCUUAAUCAUAAUCAAAUAAAAAUUAUCAAUUACUAAUUACACACCAUACGUCAUCAGAUUAUAAUGAUGCGAUAAAACAAUGAAAAAAGAAAACAGAAAGAAUAAAUUGAGAAAUGAAGGAAAGUUCCCAAUUUCGUACACACAGAACGUUUAAGCCUAGAGUACUCAACAGUGAAAGGGUUAACAAAAGAUUCGAAUUUUAAAUUGUUAAGCUUGUACGUCAACCGCGGUGCCUUCAGCAUCCGAGGAGUAUCGCAAUACAGUUUCGAGUUGAUAAAUCAAAGAAAAAUAAGGAGAUAUCUUGUAGACAUUGCGAAAGAGGAAGCGAGUGGCAAGACCCGGAGACCGUGCAGAAUCCGUGGCAUAUGUCGCGACCUUAAACCCGAUACCCUUGCGUCGCAAAAUUAAACGCGACCAUUCGCGAUCGUGCUACUCGACGCGGUCGCUUAUCGCCGUUCUCAGCCGCUGAUAACUCGUAGUCGUCGGCUCAGCUAAUUAGCGGGGCCAAGUUUUCCCGAUUAUCGUGCCGGAAACUUCGGGUUUCGCCUCGACUUUCGGCUCGCGUGAUCGAUCCUCGAACGGCUGGCCCUCGGUUCACCGCGGUUAACCGUUCAGAAAACGUGGACGCGUGUACGCGUCGGGACGCCUAUUUACGUAGCCGACGGCCGUUUUGAAUUUAACCGGCGUAACGAUCGAUUUAUAUAUCCAGCGGCCUACCUAUACAUAUCUCUUAUUUAUUUGCGCAAGCCAGCGCCGCCGCGACGUGCUUUCCGUUCGCUUUCGCCGCCUCGGCGAACAUUAUUUCGCCGGCUGACGCUUAUCUGCGCCGCCUCUCAUCAACAAGAUCCUCGGCUUUUUGUCCUUCGCCUCUUUCACGUCCGCCGAUGCUUCGUACCCGUCCUUUUCCUUUUUAUUUUCCUCGCUGACGUGCUGUUUCUCAGCUCGAUUUUCUGGCCCACGCAGAUACACGCCGAAAGAACAGCGGGAUAACCGCAAAUCUGUUUCGCUAGGCUUCCUUUGGUUAAGAGUAAAUAUAGAGAAAGGAGUCUCUUACUAUUUGCCAUGGGAGAUUCCAAGGAGAGCUUGAGGAAUUUUAAAAUUUGCAAUUUCUAAAAAUACAGUACGUCUUAUUUGACAAGAGUCCACUGUGCAUAAAAUUAAAGAAGGUAUAGGAAAGGUUGCAAACCUGUCACUCUGAAAGAUUCUGUUUACAGAGUUGAUGGUUUAAAAAAAAGAGGGGGAAUUUCUCUGUCUGGGUAGCAAGAUGUCAACGUGAUUCGAGAUUGCCGGAAAAGUAUGAAAAUUCGAAAAACCGGUAGGGGACGGUGAUACUGGUGCCGAAAGAGCGGCACGGUAAGUCGAGUGUCCGAGCUCGGACCUCGGCCAUACAGUCACGCUUAUAACCCAUGGAACAUAACCGUGCUGGCUGUUGUGCGUGGCGCGAUGCUCAGCGGCCCGUAGCCAGGAGCGGCCGGCGGCAAUUAGUAGCGGGCCGCCAAGGGAGCCUCGGCCUCAGCCUUUUUCCCCCAACCCCGCGUUGCGCCCAUCCCGCGGUCGGUUCUUUUCCCCGUCUCGUUUCCUCUCACUCGCUCUCUGUCUUUCACGCGCGCGGCUUCCCUUUCCUCUUCCUCUUUCCGCCUCUUUGCCCUUGGCGAACCCACCGCUGCGCCGGCUGCCUCACCGUCCUUCUUCGGCCGAGCUCGCUCGACCCGACUUUACCCGACCCCGCUCGACUCGACGCGACUCUGCACGACCCGGCUCGACUCGACUCCGACCGUGCUCGACUCCGAGGUUCCUCGACGACUACGCUCACUCCACCGUCUGUCUCCGUUCCACCGCCGCUGCUUCCUCCUUUUUCCUCUUUCUUCUUCUCCGUCCUCGUCGCUCCGCUGCUCGAUUGCUUCGCCGACGCCGGAACAGGCGCGAGAGAGAAAGACGCCGACAGCUAGUUUAGCGGAGAGCAACGAGGAAAGGGAGCGCGACGGAACGGUUCGCCCGAUGGAGCGGGAGAGGACGAGUGAAAACGACGGGAACGUAGCGCGGCAGAAGCGACGUGGCAGCAAAAAAAGAGGCGCUCGGAGUGAAAAGAGCGGCGGGCAGGAGGAGGGAAGCGAGAGAGGACCAAGAGAAAAACGUGGAACCGCUCGACGGAUAGGAAGAGAGAGACAGAGAGGAGAAGGGUAGAAGCCGCAGGCUUUUUGUCCCGCCACCGCCGCCGCCACCCGACAAAAAUAGACCCCUGUUCGUGUUCCCCGUCCUCCUCAGACCACUCGGUCUCUUGCGUCUGUGUGCGGACCGGGGGUACCCGGUGUGUACCAUAGAAGCGUUCUCCUCCGCUCGUAUCUCGGUCUUCAAUGGCGCCAACGGGUCUUCCGUCCUCGUUCUCUUGUCUCCGUCCCUUCUUCGACGCGUUCUUCGUCCUGCCUUCCGUUGGUCGUUCACGGCCCGUACACCGAGAGACCGAAUCGAGCCCGAGUCGAGAGCGCGAGGUUGUUAGAGGGUGCCCGAGAUGAGGCCGAUAGAACACGCCUCGAUGAUCCCUAUCUGCCAGGCGUCCGGUAACGUGGGCGUAGGCGGCGAGGUGCCUACACGCAAGCCGCGACACAGGCCAGCAGUACCCGCUUUUCCCCCUUUCGUUCAGCCCUCGUUCCUGCCCCGAUAACCCGGCCGCCCGGCAAAUCGCGAUACGUAUCGACCCCUUUCCUACGACCCCCUUCGCCAACAAAUAACUUCCCAAACUCCUUUCCACGGACGGGAUCGCAGACCGUAUGGUCGCCGUUUCUCCCUGUCGCGCCCGAUCCGUGUCCCGUCACGUUCACGGCUAUCCCGUCGACCGUCGCUGAGGGACGAAAGAGAGAGAGGGAGUACGAGUUUACGGAGCGGGACCAGAGGGGGGUUGGAUUACGUUCCUGGGUGCGGUUGACACUUGUUCGCCACGGCUCACGCCGCGGCACGAUUUAAAGCGACGCGUUUAGAUCGUCGCGUCGCGCGUCCGGUGAAACCGAGCGGAGUCGCAUCGGGGUGGAUGGACGGGGGCGAAUGGGUGGAGAACGAAACCGUGGUUGGCCGGCCGUUCGAACAUGAGAAAUUAUUGGAAAAAUUCAACGCGGUUCCGAAUGCUCGAGAGGAUCGCGUGCUCGGCUUGUGAAACGGUUUACUGGAACGAAAGCGAUGAACUUGAAUUGUUUCGAUCUAUCCGAGGGUCGUCAAGAUGGUCUUUCCUUAUUAACAUAACUUCCCAUUUCUCUCGAAAUCGAUCGCUGUAAUCAUUGCAUCGCGAUCAAGUACUUAAAACGUAGAAGUUUCUGGCAUAUCAGUGAAAGUCGAAAAUACUUGCAGGUGAAAUAUCAACGACCCAUAUUAAUCCAGGUGUUUCACUUUCGCAAGUGUUAAUUACACUUCCGAUCAUUUUCUCAGCUUGUACUCACGAUUAGUUUAUAAAAACCAUGGAAAGCGUAUAAAUAAUAAUGUGACAUGAAUCUUCAAAAUUUUAUAAUUUGUUUCAAUUAUCGAAGCUAGUAAUUGCAAAUCAGAGAUUUCUAUGCAAUUUUUCCGAAGUUCCAUAAAUAUGAAAUAGUCAGACGGAGAGGGGGUAUCGUUUUAGAGGGGGUCGGCUUAAAAUUUCUUACACAUUUCCAAUCCUAAGAGACUGUUCUUAAGACCGGUUCUGCAUACGCGAAUUUUUCGAUUCGACGGAGGUAUGCGCCUCUCUAGCCGGUAAUCGAUACCAGAACUCCGUCGAGCAUCAGGAAUUCGUUCCGUCCGUGCGUGGAAUUCUCCUAGCUGGAAAAUAGCAUUUCCUCGCUGUCAUACAUUUUUAUACGAUACAAGGAUGUUCCCCGUCAACGACAGACCUCUUCUUAGCGCUCACAAUUCUUCUGUCUCUGGCCAGUAAUCAAGAUUCUUCUCGAACUCCUUUCGGGAACCCUUUGUUCCUUGCGUUCUUUCGUGCGAUUCAACCGAUUGCUUAUGAAUGAUAAAAAGUUCGAUGACUCGUUUCCAACGGAAAAAGUAUUUCAGUCGCAAAUUUAGUAAUUAACGCUUGCAAAAACGAAGUGGCUGGUACGUGCGAAAUUCUACGUCAAAGCGUAGUACUAGACGUGCGAAAUGUUCGAAACGUAGCAGCAUGUGUUCUAACUACUGUAGAAUUGUUACGUAUACGCGCAUAUGGAAUUUCACGUAUUCCAACGACGUGCAAACGGAGUGGUGCACGCUCCAAAUGCUGGCAAACGGAGUGCCGCGUAUUCCGUUCGCGUGAAAACGCAGUUCUACCUGUCUUGUCGCGAAAUUCGACGCGUUUCGGUAUCGCGGAUACGUAAUAUCACGCGCCUGCGAUAGAAACGAAGCUUAACUUACGAUCUCCUCGGAUUAUUUUGCCGAGCGAAUUUAUCCAAUUUCAAAAUUUCGUUCAACGAAAAUCGUGGUCCGUCGGGUGGGAACGAUUGUUAAUCCCGCAUCGGUAGGCUUUUCGUCGAUUUAUCCGCGAGAACUUCUGGGACCCCUGUCGACAAUCGAUGCAGAAGCAGGCUCGACUAUCCGGAACGCGUUUUCCUUAUUCCCCGAGGACGACGAUCGCUACGACUGAGUGAAUACCCAUAGAGAAAGACGGAAGGACGAAGAUGGUGGUUAAGAAAGAGAUGGAAACGAGAGAGCCGGAGUGAAACUACGUCCGCGGUUGAGUAUCCGGUAUCCACGGCUAAUUAGCCACACCUCCGCUACGCUCUUUUAUCAUCCCAACGUUUCCAUCGCUUUCUUCUGUUAUCCGCUCGAUCCGCGAACCGGCCGGCGAGUACUCCUCUCGCGGAACGCUUCGAACCCGCUUUUGGCCGCGGCAGCCGGAGAAAUUUGCGGUCAACGCGACGAAUCUUGCGGAACGCCGUCCCCUUACCGUGGGACGAAUUAAUCUCCGCCAGCUACUAGCUCGUCUUCCUCCUUUUUCUCUCUUUCCUUCUUCUUUUUUCUCUCUCUUUUAUAUCUACAACCGUGGAUCUCGGAGCGAGAACGCGUAAAAUGGAACGGAGAUUCGAGGAUCGGGUUUAGUGUAACGAUGAACGCAUUUCGCGGUAACUGUUCUUGGACUCGGCGUUGAAUUGUAAAAAAAUAUAAUCGAAAGCAAUCAUUUUGUAACGGAUUUCUUGAUUUUAUUCAAAUAAUUGAUGGAUGUAGAUCUGAAAAUUUGGGCACUCAACAUUGGGGUCGAGUUGGAUCUGAUUGUUUCGGAAAGUGUUUUCAAGCCUUCCUGAUGUGAUAUAACUACAAAUAACCAUACUGCAUUGCGAAAGCAACUAGUUACUUAAAAUGAAGAAUACUUCACGGAUAACGUUGCGUCUGGUUUAUAACUUCUUUCUUUCUUUUUUUUUUCAAAAUAUCUUGUACGAAUCUAGUUUCACCAGUUUCUCGAACAUUACGAAUGCAAGAUCCGAAACGACAUUCUCCACGGCGUCUGAACGCGUUCUCGUCCAAGACGUUUGGACACUUUCGUCACGGUCGGAUAUCGUCUCCUCGGUACGCCACUCUUCAUUUCCGCGCGCUCUACGAGCGAAAAGUCGGUGCCGGGUAUUUUGCGGCCCCCGACCGUCGGGAAGUUACUCUAAUUCCUUGAAACUGCGCUCUCUGUUUACGAGAGGAAAUCAAAAUCAAGCUCGGAAAACGGCGCCCUUGUUCCGUCAACGCUUCAACGGCUCGGAUAGAGUAAUGGGAUCCGUGAGCUGGUAGGACACCUCGCGUUUUAUUGUCCUAACUCGAUUUAUUCUUCCCAGGAUAUCCGUGGAACAUCGUUCAACGACUUUAAACGCGUUUCACCUUUCUCCGAUGCAAGAUGCAAUUCCGCUGCACUUGGAAGCACUUACGACGAAAGAUAAAAAUGCUUUGCAAUUAAUUACUCGUACGUGACACUAAUCGUCUCGCCGGUACUUUAAUAAGCUCUACCGAAUUCAUCCGGAAUACCGCAAAUCUAAAAUUAUUUAUAAAGAUUAUUUUAGAAUUCGGUACAUGGACAUAAUUCUUUCUCUGUAAUAAUAAAUUAAACAGCUAAAUUGCGUGAUAGCAACGAUAUCUCCCCGGAAUUUCAAUAAUUAAGCAUCGAAUCGUUCGGAACUUUACGCGAGUCGUAGUCACGAGCAAGAAAACACCUUUUCUUUCGUUCUUGGUUUGCUCAACCCUAGGAAUCCCAUGCAGUGAGCCACGCGAAUGGAAAGGCCAAGUAUGAUCGCGUGAAACGGUCCGUGGAAUCGCGAUGAAAAUCCAUUAUCGGCGUCGGAAAGAAGCGGAAGGGUUGUCGUGGAAGUCGAAAAAGGAAGGAUCGGAAUUUCCAUUGAUUGUGGUCAAACCGGAGGUCCGUUGUAUGCAGUCAGAUUGCCAAUGCACGGUUUGUUUGCCAGAGGUUCACGUGACCGUUGCGAAUUAGGAUUAAACCGCGCGUAUCGAUCAGCGCGUUGCUCUUCAUUAAGGAACGCUACGUGCGACGAAUUCCCCUGAUCGACCCCCUCGUCUUCUUUAUUUUUUGGUCCUCCUGGCUCGCUUUCGUCGCUGGAUCGAGGAUCACGAGAUCGCAGGACGAUCGCAGAGAUUAAGAUUAAAGUAAGAUUGAGCGUGUCUAGACGCUUCGAGUCGCUUUGGCAAGUAGCACGAGGAAUCUUAUGAAUUUCGUUUCUUAACUGUGAAGAGUCGGACUUCGAUUCUUUCUAAUUCACCGGAACACGACUUCGCCUUUCACUUCGUUUACCGUGGAAACGAUGAGUCUUCAGGUUUAAGAUUAUAGGUGGAAAUCUUAGAAUUUCUUUAAGGGGGUGAUUUCAACCCUGGUAUCGCAGUGGUGUAAUUAGGAACGGAGCAGGGUGGUCUUGGACUAUUACAAUUUUAGGAUUAUAAAUUUCUAAGAUGUUAAAAUUCUAAGAUUCAGAGAUUCUAAAAUUCAAAAAUUCUAAUAUUUUAAAAUUCUACAAAUCUAAGGUUCCAAAAUUCUAAAAUUGUAACAUUUUAAUACUGAAUUAUCGAACUUCCCUGGUAAGAUUUUAAUGCAUUAGACUUAACGUGCGACGUCGUCUGGUCUAAAAAUGAUUCCGACCAAUCGAUCGUCCAUCAAAUUUAGUUGUCCCUCUUCGAUUUACGAUAUCCUGUGUACGUGUACUCGGAGCCGCUGGUUAACGGGAGGCGUUAUCGGACGUCGAGCUACAAAGAUCUGAGGUAUAGCCGAUAAUAUCGUCGGCAAUAUGAAUGACAGCAGGGAUAGUUAUCGCCAGUAUACGCGGCUACCUUUUGCCUGGAAUUAUCUCCCUCGACAACGAUAUCGAUUGUCCCGGUAGAUAGCGUGGCGUGAGUCGGCGCUUCAUUCUCAGUUUCGCUUCUUUCCGCUCCGAUCGGUUUCGAGAUAAACGCACCGCGCGUGACCAUUAAGUCUCGCGACUUUGAAAAGAACUGCAAUCAUUUUCUUUUUAAUUUUUCAUCCAUCAUCCGACUAAAGAAUACAUUUUAUCCUUCCAAUUCUACAUCGACACUUGAGAAUAAUCGCAGAAAUUCAUAUCCCGUGUUUUUCAAAAUAACACAUUGGACCCAAAUUAUUUUUACAAACAUCCAAAAAAUGUACGAGGAAUCCAAAUAUGAAAAAGGAAAAAUUGCCCCGGAAUUAUGUUCGAAUCUGUCGAAACACACACGAGCAAUACUUCUCGGUAAAAAGAAGAAAGCCGACGAGCGUGUACUUUGAAAGGAAACAAAAGAAAACAAAAAAAAAAGAGCCCGUCUAGCCGACGAAACGCUAAACGCAGAGUCCGGACGUUCGUCCGUUGAAAUGCUCACUGCGGAAAAUUCGGAAAGUUCCGGCAGCGGGGCCGUAAAACUUUCCGCCGCUGACUUCGAGGUAACAGCGUUUUUACUCGCGCUCUCGAAAAAAGCGAAACACGAGAAAAAAGGAGAAAGAAAGAUCAACCGAGCGGAAAGGAGAACGAACGGGAGUGAGAAGGACGGUUCGCGAGUAGAGACUCGCCGCGUAAAACUCGGCCCCGGGUAAUCGAAGCCACUCUCGCGGCCGUUUCGUUUCUCGCCGAUCGGGACGGGCGAAAAAAACGAGCCUCACGACCCGCUCCGGCGUGGCGACGGGCACGGGGGAGGGGGGAUCAUCGAUUUUCAACAGGCGUCCGACGACGAUGGGACCAAGAGAAAGAGAGAGAGAGGGAGCGGUAACGCGCGGUGGCGCCGCGAAAGAAGCCGGCACACGGACAUUUAAAUCUAAAAACGAGCGGACGAAACUCGGCCCUGGGGUAAUUGGAGGGUCGUGGAAUUUGUUGCCCCGCCGACGUGGUGUGAGGCCGGCCAAGAGACGCUGAAAUACGAGCGACGGUUAAGCGCGCGCUCUCGGCCGACCCUGUUGAGCGAGAGAAAUAACGGGGACGGAAAGAGAAAGAGCGUGAUACCGAGGAAGGGAGGUGUACGAACGCGCCCAGACGGAGGAGAAAAAGGGACAAGUGUGCGAGGAAUUGUGUCGGGUGGUACUGAAGAGAGGGACACGAGGGAGGAGAGUGGCGGAUAAUCGGGGCGUACCGCAAAUCUGCGUGCGUGUAAGCGAGUUAGAAUACAAGCGAACCGAGACGGCCGGAAGCGAUGGAGAAAAGGAGCAGGGAAAAGGGGGGAGGGAGGGAAAAAAAAAACACACGAGAAAGCCGGAGAAAGAAGCCGUAUGGACCCACCGACCCUGCCGGCCUGCACGCGGAAUGAGGCAACAAAAAAAAAGAGCCACGCGAAUACAAAAGCGAGAGAAAGACAAAGGGAAGGGAGACAGCGUGAGGUAAUGGGUCAUAGGUGCGAGGUUUGCGUGUAAUUGGAUUCAUCCCCCUCGCUACACGUUUCACCUCUUUCUUUGUCCCCGACGCACGCCUCAGCCCUUUGGUGUACAGUCUGCUUAAAACAAGCGCAGACUUUAUUAUUUUAAUACUAUUGAUUUCAUUAUUGCAACUGAAUUUGCAAUUCUAAUAUUCUUGACCGUUGCCUGAAGAUGUUAACCCUUCGUCAAAAAUCCUUCUAUAGAUCAACGCUGUUCUGUCGUUUGCUUUUGCUAAACGGAAGGGGAUGAAAAUGUAAACUGGGUGGACUAAGGGUCUUUUUUCACUUAUAUUAAGACUUUUGUCACCUGUCUCUUUACUGAGAUUUUGAAAAUUAUAGCACCCUGAACCAUCCUGAACGAUUUUGUAUAGAGAACUACUCGAUGGUAUCGAGCAAUUUAGUAAAAGUCCUUCCUUUCUCUUAAAAAAGUUUCCAAAUAAUCCGGAUAAAACACAGAAUUUCUAUGCCUACACUUAUUUUAAAGAGGCUAUAUGUCCUUAUAAAAUGAAUUAACCCGUGCGCAAUCACGAGAUAGAUGAUACGAGGGGCGGUAUUGGUCGAGAGACGCAUUCCGCGUUGUUGUUGCCGCCGCAACUGCUGGGUGCCCGCUUCGCGCCUCCGCUCUCUUAUCUUUCUAACUUUUCCGUACUCGCUGACGUCAGUUGCUUCCCCUCUUGCUGCUGCUCCUCCUCCCUUGCACGCUAGUUAGCUAUCCUUCUCCACCCAGCGUUGUAUCCAAUUCCGCGCGACGCGACAGCUUCUACGGUAGCCACGCCGCCCCUUCUCGCCCCAACGUGCGAAAUUUCAAACUUCCAGCGCGGCAGCGGCGGAUCGUAAAACUUGAGGUGGCUGUGGGAGUCCGACGAGCGCGACAACGAUCACCAAACGAGAACGGUCGCGCUCGUAACGUAACACGACGACCGCGUGUGUGUGUGGGUUGUGCGGCGCCGACUCUGUGUGUGCGAAACACGACGGAGACCGCGCGCACCGGACCGGAGCGGAUGUAAAAGGUUAGAGUGGGACCCGCCUUGGAAUUGCUCGUACCGCGCUCUUUAACGUGGGCGCGUAAUGCAGCGAUCCGUGAAUCCAUUGCGCGGCCACCGUGGAAUGGACUCGUGAGCUUUAUUUUUUCGUCCCUUUUCCUUCCCUCCCUUUCUAUCCUCGUUCUUCGGCUCUCGUCCUUUCUUUCCCGGCUUUCAUUAUGACUUCGAACGGGAUGAACGCUAAGGCACGGUACUUUAGAACCCCGGCUCGGCUGAAUCGAUGCCGAUAUAGGUGUAUCCGGUGAUGAGGUGACGGGUUUUUUGUCGGCACAGUCAAUUAAGAUCGCUCGUAAUAAGGCAGCCACGCUCGUAAAUGUCCGACGCGAAGGUCCGUCUCGUUGCUGAUGCGAGCGGUUCGAAAAAAAAUCCCACGGGUUAACCGAAAGUCAUAAAGCAUCGCGACGGUGUGCGUAAAGCGUGCCAGCAGACACGGUUCGCCGCCCAGUCACACCGGAUCGUUUCCCAUCGACAGACGGGGAGGGACAGGGCGGGGGGGGGGGGAUUAUCGUCCCCGAAAUCUCGACGACUUUUGACUCGGACGUCACCGUUAAAUUCUCCGAAGGAUCGGAGAAAAGAAAAAGGAGUGGAAAGGAGAGCGCGACCGGGUGGUUGGGGGGAAAUGAACGAGCAUCGUGAAAAGAGCUCGUCGAAACUCCGGGUGGGCUGAUCGGCUGGAACAAUUUCCGAACGAUCGAUUCGGCCAGCGGAGGCUGCACACGGUGCAACGAACGCGGCCCUCGGGGUCACCCGGUAUAAAUGUCGCCGCUUGCGGGAUCGUGGCUUCGAGCGUUUAGCAGCCCGCAAUCGGCCGACUGGUGUGUUGAUUCCCCGUGCCGGCGAUAUACAGAGCCAAGCCGGGUGAGAGAGGCAGGGCGACUGAGCGGGUCGGGGGGCGGGAAAGAGAACCGACUGGCAGGCAGGCAAGCGAAGAGAGAACGGGUCGGGAGACAGCACAGGCGGCACGAGAGAGAGAAGAAUACAGGGCGUGCGCGCAAGAACGACAUAGAAAUAGCGCGCGAGGAAGAUAACCACGAGGGUGAGGCGAGAGAGAGAGAGAGAGAGAGAGAGAGGGUGGCAGAGGUUGGAGCUUGGCCCGGCAUGGCGCGGCCUGGCUUUGCCUGGCCCGGCUUGGCCUCGUGCUCGACCCUGCCUGGCCUGCGGCCGCAUGUUCCUCCGGCCUGGCUGGUGUGUGCUCCUCUUCCUCCUGCCGCGGCAACCGAACGCAAACGUCUGGUUAAUGAGGCGCACGCACACACGCUCGCGCGCACGCGCACCGUACGUGUCCCCUCGACGUCGACGCCCUCCUCUUGCACCUCCACGCCGCGGUGAGUCCUCCUCAUCCUCCUUCUUUCCUCUCCGCCGGCCUCGAACACAAUGCGCCACGUCGCGCUGCCUAGGCGUCACGGUAAUGACAUACUCCCACAUGCACGUUAUGUCCGAUAUCGUGCCGCCUAGCAGUAGCAGCAACGCCGCCAGCAGUGUUACCACCACCCAGCGACACCGACACCGACACCCGACACCAGCCCACUACUACUACUAGCCGUCGUCUCUGUCGUCGCGACCGGUAGCGGCAAGCGGUAACAGCAACAGCUACGGCCGACAACGUCGUCGUCGUCGUCGUCGUUGUCGUCGGUAGCAGCUGCGACCGGCUGUCCGGCCAGGAAGCCAGCGUGCAAACUGCCCGAUACGGUCGCGACCGUAAUUGAACAAGCCGCGAAACCGUGGAGAAUUAUUUUUUCAUCAGCGGUGCGGCAAGUGUGCGUGUCCUUCUGCUGGGCGAUCGAUGUCGAAUCCGGUAUAGAGGACCGAUGCUCGCCAUGUCCGGGAUCCACACUCUUCUCUCGUGGUCCACUUGAAAAACGCCAAGAAUCGGAUGCCAAAAAUGGAAGUAAACCAAAGGACUUUCUUACCUAACUAUCCGGAUCGUCAAAUCGAAACUUAAGACACUGAGGAUUCUACUUUGAUGAACAGCGUACGGCUGCCCGUUAGAUAUUACGAAUUUGUUUUACAACAUCCAUUCUCAAAGUUAUCCUACUUUUGGAGGAGCGAACAGUAUCGGGGACGCAGGGUUUACAAAGGUACAAGAAUAGAACUGGUAGACAUGGGCGUGGAGAGAUCGUCCGAUCCGAAACGAUAUUGACCUAACUCGGUUGCUACCCAAGUGUAAUUGACCAGCCGUUUGAAAUUUAACAAACCCAGAUGAAAAGUGAAGCUAAAGUAGAUCCUAAUCCUAAGAGGACCUCCCCUGUACCCUGAGUCUCCCAAUUUUUCAGUCUCUUUCCCUGAAAUAUCGAAGCAACAAAACAAAGUCUUUGUUCCCUUAACAAAAAUUGUCUUUCGAAAGGAAAACGCGGUGCUCGGCAUCGACGAGCCUUAUUUGGAGUCCCGUUUGAAACGCAUUGCAGUCUGUUCAAAGACGACUCUUCUCCAUUCGCGAUCGAUUGCACGCUAUCCAAGCGAGCCAUCCGCAAAAGAGAACAUCCCAACUCGCAAAUCGUCGUCGAACUCGGCAGUUGAAUUGUUCCGACGCGUCUCCGGAUGGAACGGUUCCCAUUUUUCCUUUUUUUCUUUUUUCCUUUUCUUCCCCUCUACCGCAAACGAUCCGCGCAUAUUCUAAAUUGCGAGGCUGGAUAAUGUUUAACGGCGGUGAGAGCAGGGAUGAUGCUUCGGGCAGGGUGGGUUGCAUUUAAAAUCCAUCCGGCAGCGCGUCGUUACCGGCACGCAUCGAUGUAAACCCGACCCAUGCUCCGUGGAGAUUAAUAUUCCCACAUGCAAUCAGAGACCAUGGUAGCUAGCCGGGUACAACUACACGCUCGAUGCUUGCCGUAUCGAUGCGGCUGAUUGCUCGCAGAGGAAACUGCGUCUGACCUUAGUUAUCGCCCGCGGACCAAUGAAACACGCCAGAAAUUCGACUGGUCACCCAGACCCAAACGGUGCGUUCCGUCUUGUCUGGCAGGAUCCUGUUGCAGAACCGGCUUCCGAUAUCUCGUCAUUUCCAACCCAGCCACCGAGCGACGGGUACGGGAUUCAUGACGGAUGCUGGGCUUCGUGAAUUUUUCAAAUUCCACGCUAGCUUACUCGUUUCUCACCUUUUCUCUUUUCCUCUCCUUUCUUUUUCACGUCGCCCUGAUUUGUGCGCGCCGAGACUCCGGCAAGAUCGUAAAACAUACUGUUACGGUAUGUAGAUGCUUUCUUAUUUACGCUUUUCGAGUGGAGAUUAUGGGAUUCUUUGUCUUCGACCUUCCUCUUAUAAAUUAAGGAUCUUGAAUAUUUUUUCAAAAUUUCCUUCGUUUUACUGCUCGCAUCUGCACGCGAGGAAAAGUGGAGAGAAAGGCGCUAUUUUACGACGUUCAGAAAGUGUGGAGGAAAUUCCUCCUGGGACGGCUUUCCGGCGUAUCAAUUUUCAUCGUCGCGCGCUUAUUCCGCGUCUCCAUCGGAGCAAUUUCAUUUGAAACGCGGGAGAGAGAGUGCCGUUCGUUCGAGCGUUCCGCUUGCCAGCAGGAAAAAUCGCGAACGCCCGAAAAGUAUUUCAACGGGUUCCUUUUUUCGAGAUCGGCUUGAUCGGUCGGUACCUCGCUAAGAGAUUAAUCCUGUCAGCGCUUGCUUUACUUCUCCCGUUUUCCUCGCUGAAAAAAGGAAGUUCCGAUCGGAGGAAUCUUACGUAGAAUCGAUCUCUUUCCAACUACUCGUUCUUUGACUCCAUCUCGGACGUUUGUAGGUUAUCGUUCCAGGUAUGCGCGUUUUUCCGCCGCGCGCAAUCUUCCACGCUCGCCGCUCGAGUGUUUGUUCACGCGUGAAAAAUCCCCGCCGGCGGCGGCCUUUCCACCUGGCCAGAAGCAGCUCCGUGCAGCGCGUGCGGCCUGUUUAAAGGCUGAUUCGCACGGUGCAGAGGAGUCUUGGCGCCUGCGAAAUCAUCGACACGGAACUGCUCAGGCGAACGGGUUUGAAGGCUGUUUCGCGCGAGACGGGAAGGAAAAAAGGAACACGCGAAAGCUGAACAAGUCUGAUCGAAAGUCUCCGCGGCGAAAGGGUUGCGGCAAGUGUAAAGGAAAAAGAAAAAUUCCGACAAAUCCUCGUUAGAGGCAAGUGGAAGCGAAGAGAAGGAGAGAGGCGGCACGGAAAAAGUUGCUCGAAGUGUGGGGCGGUAGGGAGUCGACAGGAAGCGAGAAAAACAAAGCGUCGGGACAAGAGGCGGCGGAAGAAGCGGCAGACGAAGAACGCGAGAGGAUAGAUGCGAUGGAUUCUGAAGUGGGAUGGGCUGGAGUGGAACGGAUGAACGACUGGAUGGAUAGCGCGAUGAAACCUUUGAAGAGGAAGCAUGCGUACUGCCGUGUGCCGGUCGUUGCCGCGCCUUUUACAUUUUCCAGCCUGUGGCCAUCGGAUUUUCCAACUGCACGCAACAGUCCGGCUCUUUUAUGCACAGGAUUCAAACGCGUAACGGUGCUGUUCGUAUAUCUUGGAUCAUUCUCCUUAUACAUGCAGAAAAUCAGUUUCAAAAUUUCCAUAAAGUAUUUUUGGGAAUCCACUUCUAAGUGAAAAGAACACAAAAUUUUGUAAUACAGAAAAUUUGUAAAUAUAUACAAUUCCCUUAUUCCUGCUUAUAGUAUAUUUUCAUUUAAAAAUCCUUUUCCCGUGGUUUUGAAUCGAUGAACGGAUUAUUAGAUAAAAACAGGAGAAAAGGGGAUGGUGUUAAAAAUGGCUGGCUCGAGGUGCUGGCAGAUUUUAGUGGAUUGAGCCGGCAACGCAAGACCGCCGGUGAAAAGUGAGGAAAGCUCCGCGGAAAAUAAGUACAUUGACGUGCCGGCGAAGAAUAAAAGCCGUUCCUCUCGGUGGCGGGGUUGCAGUCUGGAAUUUCCAGAAUUCAGCCGGUACAUGCGAAUGCGUUCGAGUUGCGAGCGGAAACCGCGUUCCAUGGUGCUCGUUUCUGAUUUCACUCGAACGGCCACGAGCUUCGAAACUGUUAAAUGUUUUGCCUCUGGUACAGAGAAAUUACUCGUCGAUACCCGGCGAUAAAUUAUCCCUGCUACUUGAACGCGAAACGCAGAAAUUGUGGUGGUAAUUCAGAAAUUAAAUCUAAAUUCAACAAUCUUUUUAAGAUAAAACAUUCUAAGCGAAUCAAAUCCCUUAUUUUAAUUUUUAUCACCUUGAACUUGUUUUUCAUUCCCUCCAACAAUUUCCUUUUAGAAACAAAACAUAUCUAGUUUUGUAUCACGCUAAGCCACCCCUUCAUCAUUGACAGCCUAUGUGCAGCUAAAAAAAAAGAAAAGGAUGGAUUCGAUCGAUCCGCGCCGAUCCUAAAUGCCUGUCUAAUAAUUCACGUAGUCGAAGGCGGGAUCAGCCGGAAUCACACUUGAGAGGGUCCAGAUUACACGAGCCGAGCGGCCGAUCGAAAUGGAAACGCGGGGGUGGCGAUGGUGGUGGGAGUACAGGGGGUGGCAAGCAGCGGUGAAUUCGAAGCGACGGGGUUCGAUGCGUGACACGGUAACGCAAACAGAAAUCCGACACGCCAGCCAGCAGACACAGAGAGGACAGGGUGUCACGGAGGGGUAGGAGACGGGGGGAUGGGGGACAGACCGGUCCGGAACAGGGGUGGGCUUAUGCCGUUCGUUCGUUCGUUCGUGUUGACUGUGGAUCGUGCUCUCUACCCCCGUGGCCCCUGACUUCCCGUGUCGUCGUACGAGGGUGGAAACGCGAGUUCGUCCCACAAUGGAAGUCGCACGCGCGACACGCGUGCUCCGGGGGGAAAGAAGAAUUUACAGAGGACAGAAGCGGUCACUUGUGCCAGCCGAGCUUUUGCCUCUUUUUUUUUUUUUCUUUUUUCACCCCAAACCCCUUGCGUGCUCGACCGUGUCGACUGCGAUUCUACCACCAUCAAAAACGUGUUUCUUUCUGUACACACAAGAGUGUAAAGUUUAGGAAAUCAUUUUUUGAUAUUAUAUACUCGCUUUAAGGUAAAAUUAAUUGCAAAUGCAAAAGCGAAUGUUACUCUAACGAAGAGCCUGUGAUAAUGAAAAAAUAUUAGAAAAUGAAGAAGAUUGGAUGGGAAGAAAGUGUAAGAUUAGAAAUCCGAGAGUCUCUCGCGACAGGUUCCGACGGUGGAUCUGAGAAACUUCUUCACGGAGGAAGAAAUCGUGCGACGUUCAGGUUUUCUCGUUCUCAGCAGUUCCUGGUACUCUUCCAAGAUCGUGAACCGUUCCUUGCCAGAAUUGGUUUAAGAGUUCGCGACCUUUUCCGCCACGGGAUGACCCAGCCGACUGGCGUGGAUCGCUCGUUUCAGCAAUCUUGCCUUUCUUCUUUGGCAAGAUUGAAACCGCCCUACCGCCUAUCAUCCACCGUUUAGUCGCCUCGAGCAACAAAAUUGCGUUUGCCCUAGCGUCGAUCGAGAAUUAAAUCUCGCCGACUAAUCUCGCUAUUUCCUUGCCCUUCCACGGGAAAUCAUCGAGGGAUGUUUACGUUUCGCAGAGAAAAGUGGAGAAACCAGUAAAACCCUGGAAAAAGAAGAAAAAGGAAAUCAUUUUUAAACCCCGACACCUUUCGCGGAACAUUUCCUUCUGUCUCCGGGCACGCCUUUCGUCGCCGUUCGAAGAACGCCGUGCCACGAAUUGCCGGCGUAAAAAAAAAAAAAAA